rnacentral:lncRNA from 1 species
UACAUCUAAUGUAUGUAUUAAAUAAUAGAUCAGAUCUAUUACCUUGCAAGUUAGAUGUUCUAACCUUGCUGAUCUGGGCUUGAGGAUGAUGUUGCAAACCACACAGAUGUCCGAUCUCUAGGAGUCAUCCACACGAGUCCACAAAUCUCGAUCAGAAGUCCUGCUUCAAAAAAUUAGCACAGUAUGUUAGUAUUGCGCUGAUUCUUCUUCGAUGGUUGAUCAGGUGCCUCUUUCUUCUUGAUUUGGGCUCUUCCAAAGAUGAAAAGUAGGAGGAGGAGUUUUAGAUCUGAGAUGCUCUCUGAAAACUCAAGAUGGAGGAAGGAAAGAGAUGAAACUA